rnacentral:rRNA from 1 species
UACAGAGGGUGCGAGCGUUGUCCGGAAUCACUGGGCGUAAAGGGCGCGUAGGUGGCGACCCAAGUCGAUGGUGAAAGCUCGCCGCUCAACGGCGAGUCGGCCACUGAUACUGGGUUGCUGGAGCACUGUAGAGGCAGAUGGAAUUCCGGGUGUAGCGGUGGGAUGCGUAGAGAUCCGGAAGAACACCGGUGGCGAAGGCGGUCUGCUGGGCAGUUGCUGACACUGAGGCGCGACAGCGUGGGGAGCAAACAGG